rnacentral:tRNA from 1 species
GUUUUAAUAAUUUAACAAAAAUAUUGGUCUUGUAAAUCAAACAUAAGGAACAACCUUUUAAAACU